CUUUUUUGUUGUUGAUCUUCUGCCUAGGUAUUUUAUUAUUCCGUAAAUGCUUCCUCUCAGCAGAAUCACUGCCCAGUUUUAUUCUGUAUUGACAGUACUUUCUGGGAGACCUUGACUCAACCUCUUGUCUUCUGAUUUACGCCACAUGACCAGGGCGUGACCAGAGUAGACUGUGGCGUUUCUCGGGGUCUUGGUUGGAAGGAUAUGGUGGUGGGAUUGGUGGGAUUCAUUGCAUUGGUAGGAUUCUUUUACGGCUUCUGUUCACAGAGCCCUGCCCUGGCUGGCUGUCCUGUGCUUCUGUUUCAGCUCCAAGCCCUCAGUGAGCCUCAGCCCAGGCUGCAGGCAGCAGGCCUGCCACGCACAGAGGUGCCACAAGGGAAGGGAAACAUGCUUGGUAACAGCAAGUCCCAGACACCAGCCCCCAGUUCCGAAGUGGUUUUGGAUUCAAAGAGACAAGUUGAGAAAGAGGAAACCAAUGAGAUCCAGGUGGUGAAUGAGGAGGAGCCUCAGAGGGACAGGCUGGGGCUGCCGCAGGAGCCAGGCCGGGAGCAGGUGGUGGAAGACAGACCUGUAGGUGGAAGAGGCUUCGGGGGAGCCAGAGAACUGGGCCAGACCCCACAGGUGCAGGCUGCCCUGUCAGUGAGCCAGGAAAAUCCAGAGAUGGAGGGCCCUGAGCGAGACCAGCUUGUCAUCCCUGACGGACAGG
rnacentral:sRNA from 1 species